CGCGUAGGCGGAUCAUCAAGUCGGGGGUGAAAUCCCGGGGCUCAACCCCGGAACGGCCUUCGAGACUGGUGGUCUUGAGUUCGAGAGAGGUGGGUGGAAUUCCGAGUGUAGAGGUGAAAUUCGUAGAUAUUCGGAGGAACACCAGUGGCGAAGGCGGCCCACUGGCUCGACACUGACGCUGAGGCGCGAAAGCGUGGGGAGCAAACAGGAUUAGAUACCCUGGUAGUC
rnacentral:rRNA from 1 species